rnacentral:tRNA from 1 species
GGAGAGGUGUCCGAGUGGCCGAAGGAGACGGUCUCGAAAACCGUUGUGGGCUUAUGUCCACCGUGGGUUCGAAUCCCACCCUCUCCGCCA